rnacentral:rRNA from 1 species
GACGAACGCUGGCGGCGUGCUUAACACAUGCAAGUCGAACGGAAAGGCCCCUUUGGGGGUACUCGAAUGGCGAACGGGUGAGUAACACGUGAGUAACCUGCCCUUGACUUCGGGAUAACUUCAGGAAACUGGGGCUAAUACCGGAUAGGAAUCCUUGCUGCAUGGUGGGGGUUGGAAAGCUUCGGCGGUUUUGGAUGGACUCGCGGCUUAUCAGCUUGUUGGUGGGGUAGUGGCUUACCAAGGCUUUGACGGGUAGCUGGCCUGAGAGGGCGACCGGCCACAUUGGGACUGAGAUACGGCCCAGACUCCUACGGGAGGCAGCAGUGGGGAAUAUUGCACAAUGGGCGGAAGCCUGAUGCAGCAACGCCGCGUGCGGGAUGACGGCCUUCGGGUUGUAAACCGCUUUCAGCAGGGGCGAAGCUUGUGGUGACGGUACCUGCAGAAGAAGCACCGGCUAACUACGUG